rnacentral:rRNA from 1 species
AGUCGAACGAAGCGCCUGCGGCGGACCCCUCCGGGGGAAAGCCGCGGGGGACUGAGUGGCGGACGGGUGAGCAACGCGUGGGCAACCUGCCCCGUACCGGGGGACAACAGCCGGAAACGGCUGCUAAUACCGCAUAUUCCCGCGGGGCCGCAUGGCCCUGCGGGGAAAGCUCCGGCAGUACGGGAUGGGCCCGCGUCUGAUUAGCUUGUUGGCGGGGUAACGGCCCACCAAGGCUGCGAUCAGUAGCCGGCCUGAGAGGGCGGCCGGCCACAUUGGGACUGAGACACGGCCCAGACUCCUGCGGGAGGCAGCAGUGGGGGAUAUUGCACAAUGGGGGGAACCCUGAUGCAGCGACGCCGCGUGAACGAAGAAAUAUUUCGGUAUGUAAAGUUCUAUCAGCAGGGAAGAAAAUGACAGUACCUGACCAAGAAGCCCCGGCUAACUACGUGCCAGCAGCCGCGGUAAUACGUAGGGGGCGAGCGUUAUCCGGAUUCACUGGGCGUAAAGGGAGCGCAGGCGGCACGGCAAGUCCGGUGUGAAAGCCCGGGGCCCAACCCCGGGACUGCACUGGAAACUGCCGGGCUGGAGUGUCGGAGGGGCAGGCGGAAUUCCUAGUGUAGCGGUGAAAUGCGUAGAUAUUAGAAAGAACACCGGUGGCGAAGGCGGCCUGCUGGACGACGACUGACGCUGAGGCUCGAAAGCGUGGGGA